GAGACCCACGCCCACAGUUGCCAGCGUACUCUUUGGAGUGACGGGUACACUGUGGGGACCGCCGCUGCUAAAGCGGAGGAAGGAAUGGGCAACGGUAGGUCAGCAUGCCCCGAAUAUCCCGGGCUACACGCGAGCUACAAUGGUUGGUACAAUGGGUAUCUACCCCGAAAGGGGACGGAAAUCUCCUAACGCCAAUCUUAGUUCGGAUUGAGGGCUGCAACUCGCCCUCAUGAAGCUGGAAUCCGUAGUAAUCGCACACCAACAGUGUGCGGUGAAUAC
rnacentral:rRNA from 1 species